GCAUCAAAUUUGCUCGACCCGCUUCUGGUUACUAGUGAAUUCCCGAGUCCAUCGAUCAAUCCAUCAAAGGAGCUGUCAAAAAAAAAAAAAAUAAAUAAAUAAAUAAAAAUGCACACCGAACUCCAUUCAUAUUCCGCACAGAGACACGGCGGAGCGUAGAAAUGAAUACAUUCCAAGCCAAUCCAAAUCUGUGAAUAGUAAUACAAUCAUCAAGGAACAGGACGCCAGCCCUCCAAAGAAAAAAUGCGAGAAAAAAGAAUCGCCAUAGUAAACCAAUUCAUUACCAAUUCACCCCACAACUACCGACAUCCCAUAAUCUGCAAACCC
rnacentral:sRNA from 1 species